rnacentral:lncRNA from 1 species
UUGGUUGCAGCUAAAGUUCAAGAACUGUACGUGUACGAAAUCAACGAGAGAGACCGCGAUAGCCCAGCGUUCCUAAAACUGAGUCAGAAGCCAGCCAACUCACUGGGGGACCUGGUGCCCUUCACCAACAAGAUCUACACCGGAGACCUGGAGAAGCGGUUAGGCGUCACCGCUGGCAUAUGCGUAUUGAUCCAACACGUACGGGAGAGGAAGGGUGACCGCUACGAAGCCAUAUACAGCUUCUACUUCGGGGACUACGGACACGUGUCGGUGCAGGGACCGUACUUGACCUAUGAGGACACGUAUCUAGCGGUGACGGGCGGCUCUGGGAUAUUCGAAGGGGUGUACGGUGAGGUGAAGCUACAGCA